AUGGAACAAUGUAGGCAAGGGAAGUCGGCAAAACGGAUCCGUAACUUCGGGAAAAGGAUUGGCUCUGAGGACUGGGCUCGGGGGUCCCGGCCCCGAACCCGUCGGCUGUCGGCGGAUUGCUCGAGCUGCUCACGCGGCGAGAGCGGGUCGCCGCGUGCCGGCCGGGGGACGGACCGGGAAUCGCCCCUUCGGGGGAUUUCCCCGAGCAUGAAACAGUCGACUAAGAACUGGUACGGACAAGGGGAAUCCGACUGUUUAAUUAAAACAAAGCAUUGCGAUGGUCCUCGCGGAUGCUGA
rnacentral:rRNA from 1 species